AUUGAACGCUGGCGGCAUGCUUUACACAUGCGAGUCGAACGGCAGCGCGGGCUUCGGCCUGGCGGCGAGUGGCGAACGGGUGAGUAAUACAUCGGAACGUGCCCAGUAGUGGGGGAUAGCUCGGCGAAAGCCGGAUUAAUACCGCAUACGACCUGAGGGUGAAAGCGGGGGAUCUUCGGACCUCGCGCUAUUGGAGCGGCCGAUGGCAGAUUAGCUAGUUGGUGGGGUAAAGGCCUACCAAGGCGACGAUCUGUAGCUGGUCUGAGAGGACGACCAACCACACUGGGACUGAGACACGGCCCAGACUCCUACGGGAGGCAGCAGUGGGGAAUUUUGGACAAUGGGCGAAAGCCUGAUCCAGCAAUGCCGCGUGUGUGAUGAAGGCCUUCGGGUUGUAAAGCACUUUUGGCGGGAACGAAAAGGACUGUGCCAAUACCACGGUUCGAUGACGGUACCCGCAGAAUAAGCACCGGCUAACUACGUG
rnacentral:rRNA from 1 species